GACAGAGGUGGCAAGCGUUGUUCGGAUUUAUUGGGUGUAAAGGGUCCGUAGGUGGCUAGGUAAGUCUGGUGUGAAAUCCCACAGCUCAACUGUGGAACUGCAUUGGAAACUGCCUGGCUUGAGUACCGGAGAGGUGAGGGGAAUUCUCGGUGUAGUGGUGGAAUGCGUAGAUAUCGGGGGGAACAUCAGUGGCGAAAGCGGCACCCUGGCAUUAGCCUGACGCUCAUGUGCGAAAGCGUGGGGAGCGAACCGG
rnacentral:rRNA from 1 species